UUGUCAACUCUAAGCAAGAGAAAACCUAAAUUCAAGUUGUGCUAUAAGUAGUAGUUUCAAGUUUGCUACAAGUAGUAGUCUCAAGUUGUGUACUAGUAGUAGUUGUGUUGAUGUCAACUCUAAGCAAAAGAAAAUUUAAAUUCAAGUUCUGCUACAAGUAGUAGUAAUAGUAGUAGUAGUUGAUAGUAGUGUUGCAACUCUAAGCAAGAGAAAACCUAAAUUCAAGUUGUGUUACAAGUAGUAUAGUAGUAGUAGU